rnacentral:rRNA from 1 species
GAUGAACGCUGGCGGCAUGCCUUACACAUGCAAGUCGAGGGGUAUAGGGAGCUUGCUUCCUAGAGACCGGCGCACGGGUGCGUAACGCGUAUGCAAUCUACCUUUUGCAGAGGAUAGCCCAGAGAAAUUUGGAUUAAUACCUCAUAGUAUGUGAGAAUGGCAUCAUUUUCACAUUAAAGUCACAACGGCAAAAGAUGAGCAUGCGUCCCAUUAGCUUGUUGGUAAGGUAACGGCUUACCAAGGCAACGAUGGGUAGGGUCCUGAGAGGGAGAUCCCCCACACUGGUACUGAGACACGGACCAGACUCCUACGGGAGGCAGCAGUGAGGAAUAUGGACAAUGGGCGCAAGCCUGAUCCAGCCAUGCCG